rnacentral:lncRNA from 1 species
GGAGGAUACAGGCCAGGUGGGUGCUAACCUCAGGGACAGCUGUGCCUUUGAAAACAGCAUGGUCCCUCCACAUCUCUAGUGCCUUGCAUCACUCCUUCCUCAGUCAUUACUGUGUCCCCAGGAUGUGCAGGGCUCUGUCCUGGGCCCAGAGGGACAGAAAUGAAGCAGCCCCACCCUUGCCCACAGGAGCUCACGACCUGGUGGCUGGUCUGGUGUGGAUACCUGUGGGGCAUUGAGGAUACCUUCAGGGGGUGUGGCAGGUGUCCUGAUAAAGCAGGACAAUAGCCAAGGACAGAGACUGGCCCCGGCAGGGAGCCAGAGAGCUGGGUGAGGAAGAGGGAAAAGCAGAGCCAAGAAAGGACACGCAAACCAGCAGAGAAGCCAGCAGGUCAGGUUUCUGCAAAGAGGGGAAAGUAAGGAGAGAGAGGCCGGGGGGAGAGGCGGGUGGACUGGCAUCCCUGAGGGCUGGGAGGCCGGGAGCUGCAGGGGACGGGAGGUAAGGGGAGAGGAGGAAGGGGUGAGGGUGUUCUCUUGUCUUCAUAUGAUGUCAGGGCUGCUGCUGAGACUCCCAGGGGGGCCUCUACCAGGGACCAGUCGCCUUAGUCUACCUGUCUCCCCCCUUGAUCCUGCAGGGAGGGGCCGAUUCCCCUUUGAUAACUGAGGAGACUGAGGCUCAGGGAGGUGGAGCCUGUUGGUUACAAACCCUCAGGCAAGGGACACCCAGACUGACACCCCAAAGCCCAUGUUCUGUCCCCCUGCUGCCAUUGAGCAGGGUCCCCUCCUGUCUGCAAAGCCAAACCAGAGCCCCACAGGCCCCUUACAACCUAUGAUUAUGUCACCGUGCCCCACAGUGACUGUCCCUCUCUGCAUACCAAGUAGGCAGGAAAAAGGUGGAUGGAGGUGAGAAGAGCCAUCAUGGAGGGAGCUGUGACCCCCAGGCUGGGGUGGGAGGAGAAGGAGCCAGUUCAUGCCACAGAGGCCUGUCCCCAACAGUAUCACUUCGGUGGAGAUAAACUUUAUGGACAUUGGACUUUGACCACUUCAAUUUUGAUCGCUUCCAUUCUAGACCAUCAAGGAGCCACCACCAACCCAGGAAAGAGCAAAGGAGCCUGAGGACACAUGUCACAUGCAGACAUGCCCCAUGGUGAUUGUCCCGCAUGGAUGCCAAGGAUGCAGGAUGAAACGGAUGGAGGUGAGAAGGGCUCUGGGGAGCAGGAGGUAAGGGGAGCUGCUUCGUGCACAGGCCUGGGACUGUAAGGCAUGGCCCGAGUAGGAAUGAGCUACAGGCAGUGGACUGCAGUCACUGGGACCUGAGAAAAGCCAAAGGCCUCCUGACCCUAGUGGCCCAAGGGAGGCC